UGGGGAAUAUUGCACAAUGGGCGCAAGCCUGAUGCAGCCAUGCCGCGUGUAUGAAGAAGGCCUUCGGGUUGUAAAGUACUUUCAGUCGGGAGGAAGGUGGUAAGGUUAAUAACCUUAUCAAUUGACGUUACCGACAGAAGAAGCACCGGCUAACUCCGUGCCAGCAGCCGCGGUAAUACGGAGGGUGCAAGCGUUAAUCGGAAUUACUGGGCGUAAAGCGCACGCAGGCGGUUUGUUAAGUCAGAUGUGAAAUCCCCGGGCUCAACCUGGGAACUGCAUUCGAAACUGGCAGGCUAGAGUCUUGUAGAGGGGGGUAGAAUUCCAGGUGUAGCGGUGAAAUGCGUAGAGAUCUGGAGGAAUACCGGUGGCGAAGGCGGCCCCCUGGACGAAGACUGACGCUCAGGUGCGAAAGCGUGGGGAGCAAACAGG
rnacentral:rRNA from 1 species